GGGCAUGUGGUGUAGUUGGUUAUCACGCUCGCUUAGCAUCUUUGAGCUUGCGAGAGGGGUCCGGUUCAAUCCCGGACAUGUCCA
rnacentral:tRNA from 1 species